GAUGAACGCUGGCGGCGUGCCUAAUACAUGCAAGUCGAGCGAACAGACGAGGAGCUUGCUCCUCUGACGUUAGCGGCGGACGGGUGAGUAACACGUGGAUAACCUACCUAUAAGACUGGGAUAACUUCGGGAAACCGGAGCUAAUACCGGAUAAUAUAUUGAACCGCAUGGUUCAAUAGUGAAAGACGGUUUUGCUGUCACUUAUAGAUGGAUCCGCGCCGCAUUAGCUAGUUGGUAAGGUAACGGCUUACCAAGGCGACGAUGCGUAGCCGACCUGAGAGGGUGAUCGGCCACCCUGGAACUGAGACACGGUCCAGACUCCUACGGGAGGCAGCAGUAGGGAAUCUGCCGCAAUGGGCGAAAGCCUGACGGAGCAACGCCGCGUGAGUGAUGAAGGUCUUCGGAUCGUAAAACUCUGUUAUUAGGGAAGAACAAAUGUGUAAGUAACUAUGCACGUCUUGACGGUACCUAAUCAGAAAGCCACGACUAACUACGUG
rnacentral:rRNA from 1 species